CCUACGGGCGGCAACAGUGAGGAAUAUUGGUCAAUGGACGAGAGUCUGAACCAGCCAAGUAGCGUGAAGGAUGACUGCCCUAUGGGUUGUAAACUUCUUUUAUAUGGGAAUAAAACGUUCCACGUGUGGGAUUUUGUAUGUACCAUAUGAAUAAGGAUCGGCUAACUCCGUGCCAGCAGCCGCGGUAAUACGGAGGAUCCGAGCGUUAUCCGGAUUUAUUGGGUUUAAAGGGAGCGUAGGUGGAUUGUUAAGUCAGUUGUGAAAGUUUGCGGCGCAACCGUAAAAUUGCAGUUGAAACUGGCAGUCUUGAGUACAGUAGAGGUGGGCGGAAUUCGUGGUGUAGCGGUGAAAUGCUUAGAUAUCACGAAGAACUCCGAUUGCGAAGGCAGUUCACUGGACUGCAACUGACACUGAGGCUCGAAAGUGUGGGUAUCAAACAGGAUUAGAUACCCCUGUAGUC
rnacentral:rRNA from 1 species